GCCCGGUUAGCUCAAUCGGUAGAGCGUGUGGCUUUUAUAAAAUGCACACCUCAAGGUUGCGAGUUCGAGCCUCGCAUCGGGCG